CGGAGAUGGCGCUGCAGCGGUCCAACGAGACCUUCAGGCGAUCAGGCUCCUCCGGCAUGGUGUGGGAGGACCGCUUCCUCCCCGACAAAGCCAAGAAGGACGAAUCCGCCCCCGCCGCCCCCGCCGCCGAGCUCCGCCACUCGAGGAGCGUCGGAUCCACCGCCGUCCUUGACCGCAGCCAAUCCAACGGCGGCCGCGGGUUUCGCACCGGUCGCAUCUCGCCGGCGCUGGACCCUCCCUCACCGAAAGUCUCCGCCUGCGGGUUCUGCAGCAUCUUCGG
rnacentral:misc_RNA from 1 species